CGAAUGCUUUGAUGCAUGCAGGGACUGGUCCAAGGAGGUCAAGGGUUGCUGAAAAGGGGUUUCCUCCAGUGAGUCCAUGCACUUCUAAUUCCAUCUCGGUGCCUGCUUUGCAGAGGCCCCGAACUCAUUGGGCAUGCCGUGGAGAUGAGGGUUGCUGGGAGUCACGAUGGAUGAAGAGACAGAGGUCUAGAGGGGAUGCUGAAACAUACCCAAAGUCACAGAGCCCGGAAGGGGUCCUCUGAAACCGGCUCAGAGAGGGUAAGUGACCAGCCAGAGGCCACACAGCUUAAACCUACUGCCUGUUAAAACAACAAACAAAACACCAGAAACCAAACUGCCCUUUAUCGGGAUGUUUACUAUUUGUGAGUCACCCAGUUAAGCCUCUUGAACAGCAACAGCAGCAGCAGUGAAGACUCUGCCUGUAUUGAGUGCUUACUCAGUGCCAGGCAUCUUGGUAUUUGGCACAAUAGUCGCGGUGAAUGUUCCAAACGACCCUAGGACAUGGGUCUCCGCAGCCCAUUUUCCAGAAGAGUAAAACUGAGGCUUGGAGGAGGCGGCCCUUGCCAGAGCUCCCCAGCAGGCCUGGCCCUGGCUCUGCCCAGCCACCCGGGAGGCGGCGGGAGGGCCAGGUGGCAUGCAAGGAGUUAAGCGGUAGGCAGUGCUGUGGCUCCGUGUGAGGAGCGCGCCGGGCUC